rnacentral:rRNA from 1 species
UACGGAGGGGGCUAGCGUUGUUCGGAAUUACUGGGCGUAAAGCGCACGUAGGCGGCUUUGCAAGUUAGAGGUGAAAGCCCGGGGCUCAACUCCGGAAUUGCCUUUAAGACUGCAUCGCUAGAACGUCGGAGAGGUAAGUGGAAUUCCGAGUGUAGAGGUGAAAUUCGUAGAUAUUCGGAAGAACACCAGUGGCGAAGGCGACUUACUGGACGACCGUUGACACUGAGGUGCGAAAGCGUGGGGAGCAAACAGG